ACUCAAAUGAAUUGACGGGGGCCCGCACAAGCGGUGGAGCAUGUGGUUUAAUUCGAUGCAACGCGAAGAACCUUACCUACCCUUGACAUACAGUGAAUUCUGCAGAGAUGCGGAAGUGCCUUCGGGAACACUGAUACAGGUGCUGCAUGGCUGUCGUCAGCUCGUGUUGUGAGAUGUUGGGUUAAGUCCCGUAACGAGCGCAACCCUUAUUCUUAGUUACCAGCGCGUGAUGGCGGGGACUCUAAGGAGACUGCCGGUGACAAACCGGAGGAAGGCGGGGACGACGUCAAGUCAUCAUGGCCCUUACGGGUAGGGCUACACACGUGCUACAAUGGUUGGUACAGAGGGAAGCGAAGCGGCGACGUGGAGCGGAUCCUUUAAAGCCAAUCGUAGUCCGGAUUGAAGUCUGCAACUCGACUUCAUGAAGUCGGAAUCGCUAGUAAUCGCGAAUCAGCAUGUCGCGGUGAAUACGUUCCCGGGCCUUGUACACACCGCCCGU
rnacentral:rRNA from 1 species